rnacentral:rRNA from 1 species
UACGUAGGGGGCAAGCGUUGUCCGGAGUUACUGGGCGUAAAGCGCACGCAGGCGGUCUGCUAAGUUUGGAGUGACAGUUGGUGGCUUAACUGCCAAAGUGCUUCGAAAACUGACAGACUUGAGGGCUUCAGAGGGACACGGAAUUCCGGGUGGAGUGGUGAAAUGCGUAGAGAUCCGGAGGAACACCAAAGGCGAAGGCAGUGUCCUGGGGAGUACCUGACGCUCAGGUGCGAAAGCCAGGGGAGCGAACGGGG